rnacentral:rRNA from 1 species
GCCCAGACUCCUACGGGAGGCAGCAGUAGGGAAUCUUCCACAAUGGACGAAAGUCUGAUGGAGCAACGCCGCGUGAGUGAUGAAGGUUUUCGGAUCGUAAAACUCUGUUGUAAGGGAAGAACAAGUACGAGAGGGAAUGCUCGUACCUUGACGGUACCUUGCGAGAAAGCCACGGCUUAACUACGUGCCAGCAGCCGCGGUAAUACGUAGGUGGCAAGCGUGUCCGGAAUUAUUGGGCGUAAAGCGCGCGCAGGCGGCCUUUUAAGUCUGAUGUGAAAGCCCCCGGCUCAACCGGGGAGGGUCAUUGGAAACUGGAAGGCUUGAUUACAGAAGAGAAGAGUGGAAUUCAUGUUUAGCGUAGAAAUGCGUAGAGAUGUGGAGGAACACCAGUGGCGAAGCGACUCUUUUGGCUGUAACUGACGCUGAGUCGCGAAAGCUGGGGAGCAACCAGGAUUAGAUACCCUGGAAGUCCACGCCGUAAACGAUUAGUGCUAGGUGUUGGGGGGUUUCCGCCCCUCAGUGCUGAAGCUAACGCAUUAAGCACUCCGCCUGGGGAGUACGGCCGCAAGGCUAAACUCAAAGGAAUUGAGG